rnacentral:rRNA from 1 species
GGUGAACGCUGGCGGCGUGCCUAAUACAUGCAAGUCGAGCGAACAGACGAGGAGCUUGCUCCUCUGACGUUAGCGGCUGACGGGUGAGUAACACGUGGAUAACCUUCCUAUAUUACUGGGAUAACUUCGGGAAGCCGGAGCUAAUACCAGAUAAUAUAUUGAACCGCAUGGUUCAAUAGUGAAAGACGGUUUUGGUGUCACUUAGAGAUGGAUCCGCGCCGCAUUAGCUAGUUGGUAAGGGAACGGCUUACCAAGGCGACGAUGCGUAGCCGACCUGAGAGGGUGAUCGGCCACACUGGAACUGAGACACGGUCCAGACUCCUACGGGAGGCAGCAGUAGGGAAUCUUCCGCAAUGGGCGAAAGCCUGACGGAGCAACGCCGCGUGAGUGAUGAAGGUCUUCGGAUCGUAAAACUCUGUUAUUAGGGAAGAACAAAUGUGUAAGUAACUAUGCACGUCUUGACGGUACCUAAUCAGAAAGCCCCGGCUAACUACGUG